AGGGUUCGAUUCUGGCUCAGGAUGAACGCUGGCGGCGUGCUUAACACAUGCAAGUCGAACGGGAUCCCGGGGGCUCGCUCCCGGGUGAGAGUGGCGAACGGGUGAGUAAUGCGUGACCGACCUGCCCCAUACACCGGAAUAGCUCCUGGAAACGGGUGGUAAUGCCGGAUGCUCCGGUUGGAUGCAUGUCCUUCCGGGAAAGGUUCCAUCGGUAUGGGAUGGGGUCGCGUCCUAUCAGCUUGAUGGCGGGGUAACGGCCCACCAUGGCUUCGACGGGUAGCCGGCCUGAGAGGGCGACCGGCCACAUUGGGACUGAGAUACGGCCCAGACUCCUACGGGAGGCAGCAGUGGGGAAUAUUGCACAAUGGGCGCAAGCCUGAUGCAGCGACGCCGCGUGGGGGAUGAAGGCCUUCGGGUUGUAAACCGCUUUUGAUCGGGAGCAAGCCCUUCGGGGUGAGUGUACCCUUCGAAUAAGCACCGGCUAACUACGUGCCAGCAGCCGCGGUAAUACGUAGGGUGCAAGCGUUAUCCGGAAUUAUUGGGCGUAAAGGGCUCGUAGGCGGUUCGUCGCGUCCGGUGUGAAAGCCCAUCGCUUAACGGUGGGUCUGCGCCGGGUACGGGCGGGCUGGAGUGCGGUAGGGGAGACUGGAAUUCCCGGUGUAACGGUGGAAUGUGUAGAUAUCGGGAAGAACACCAAUGGCGAAGGCAGGUCUCUGGGCCGUUACUGACGCUGAGGAGCGAAAGCGUGGGGAGCGAACAGGAUUAGAUACCCUGGUAGUCCACGCCGUAAACGGUGGAUGCUGGAUGUGGGGCCCGUUCCACGGGUUCCGUGUCGGAGCUAACGCGUUAAGCAUCCCGCCUGGGGAGUACGGCCGCAAGGCUAAAACUCAAAGGAAUUGACGGGGGCCCGCACAAGCGGCGGAGCAUGCGGAUUAAUUCGAUGCAACGCGAAGAACCUACCUGGGCUU
rnacentral:rRNA from 1 species